rnacentral:rRNA from 1 species
CCCUUAGAUGUCCUGGGCCGCACGCGCGUUACACUGAUGCAUUCAACGAGCUUAUAACCUUGGCCGAGAGGCCUGGGCAAUCUUGUUAACGUGCAUCGUGAUAGGGAUAGAUUAUUGAAAUUAUUAAUCUUGAACGAGGAAUUCCUAGUAAACGCAGAUCAUCAAUCUGCAUUGAUUACGUCCCUGCCCUUUGUACACACCGCCCGUCGCACCUACCGAUUGGAUGGUUCGGUGAAGCCUCGGGAUUGUGGUUCUUGCCGCUUUAUUGUGGCGUGACCGCGAGAACUUGUCUAAACCUUAUCAUCUAGAGGAAGGUGAAGUCGUAACA